rnacentral:lncRNA from 1 species
UCUUGACAAGACUCGAUUAUUCUGUGGGCUCUAUACACCAAGAUGCCUGAGGGGGAGAAACAUAAUUUAAACUACAGAACAGGUGUGAGGGUAAAUCUGGCCCCCGUUCCUCCAUCUUGGCUGGAAGUGGAAGUCCCGGUGGAUAUUUUUGAGCCCCUGAUGUAUGCCAGGCACUGCUGUAAGCACUGAGUAUUCAAAGAUGAACAAAAUGAUGUGGCCCCAGUCUCCUAAAAUUUACUAUCAAGAGAAGAAGACAACAGGAUCUCACUAUGUUGUCCAGGCUGGUCUCAAA